AACCAGCCCAGCCCUGACCCUGCAGCUCUGAGAGAGGAGCCUUAGCCCUGGGGUUCCAAGGCAUUUCCACCUGCUGAUCAGCACUGAACACAGAGGACUCAGCAUGGAGUGGGGGCUGAGCUGGGUUUUCCUUGUUGCUAUUUUAGAAGGUGUCCAGUGUGAGGUGCAGCUGGUGGAGUCUGGGGGAGGCUUGGUCCAGCCUGGGGGGUCCCUGAGACUCUCCUGUGCGGCCUCUGGAUUCACCUUCAGUAACUACAACAUGGACUGGGUCCGCCAGGCUCCAGGGAAGGGUCUGGAGUGGGUAUCAUACAUUAGUUAUAAUGGGGGUAGCACAUACUACGCAGACUCCGUGAAGGGCCGAUUCACCAUCUCCAGAGACAACGCCAAGAACUCGCUGUAUCUGCAGAUGAGCAGCCUGAGAGCCGAGGACACGGCCGUGUAUUACUGUGCGAGAGACACAGUGAGGGGAGGCCCGUGUGAGCCCGGACACAAACCUCCUGCAGGGGCCCCCGAGACCACCAGGGGGCGCCCGGACGCUGUGCACGGGGCUGUCUCGGGGCAGGUGCAGGUGCUGCUAAGGGCUGGCUUCCUGCCAUGGUCUGGGGCUGCCUCGUUGUCACAUUUCCCCAGGGAACCUCCCAGAUUUACAAUUCUGUACUAACAUCUGACGUCUCUAAAGGCAAAACUUUCUUUUC